UUAAUUGAAAGAACCCUUAAAUCCCAACCCUAAAUCUCUCUCUAACUCUCAAGUCUACUGCCGCCCUCCCCUUCCCUCCCCCAUUCGGCCUCUCCUUCACUCUGGUACAGUCGUGCGCCUCCCGCCGAUCGUUCCUCUGCUCCACGAUGUCAACGUCGUUCUGCGUCCGGUUCCUGCGUCCGCUGGUCUGCUUGCUUCUUUGCUUUUCUCCGCCACUUCCUCUGAAUCUCCUUUCUCUCUGUUGACAAAAAUCUUGUUGAGGUUUUUGCUAAAGGAGUACAUGUGGAUACUGUUGUUUUGAUGGCAGCUCAAGCUUCAAGACCAGAGAAUCAAGAUGCAAUUGAUUCUGCCAUUGUUGGAAUGCAAUUGAUUCUGCCACUGUUUGAUGUCUCAUUAUCCAUUUAAUUUGGAAAAAUGCUCGUGCUGGAAUUCAAGAAGUUCAUUUCCUUCCUUUUAAUCCAACUGAUAAGCGGACAGCCUCGACUUACAUUGAUAGUGAAGGUAAAAUGCAUAGAGUUAGCAAAGGUGCCCCAGAGCAGGUAACCUGUCCGCAAGUCUGCACUGCAUUUUUGGUUGUGCAAUGCUAUUGGAAGUACAAAUUCUAAUUCCCUUGUGUAAUGUUGUUUUAGAUUCUAAAUCUUGCUCGCAAUAAGUCAGAUAUUGAAUGAAGAGUUCAUGCUGUCAUUGACAAGUUUGCAGAUGAUGCUCUAAGACUUGGCCUGGGGGGAUAGGACUGAUAAAAAAGAUACAAGUGCUUUUAAUACAUGGAAAGAUAUCAUUAUUCCUGGCAAUGUGGAUGAUGGGAUGACCAGAAGAGGAACUCCCAUGGUUCAACCUUUGCCAUUAUCAAAGAGGAAGUACUUGGCAAACUAUCUAGGUCGUGCACAAGGAAAAGUUGGCCGUCUUAAGUUAAUAGAGCUUGCAAAGCAAUAUCCAGAUAAGUUGGAAUCUCCAGAAUUGAAGUUUAGUGGCCCUGACAAGCUUGGGAGGAUGGAAUAUUUUCAAAACCUGAGGAAUGCCAAAUUCUGCCUCGCUCCACGUGGAGAGUCUUCUUGGACACUUCGCUUUUAUGAGUCCUUUUUUGUGGUCUCUCUCUCUCAAACACAAAUACACAUUUGCGGUCUUUUGCUGUUGCAUACCAGAGGCUUUCUGGAGCAUCUUUGCUAAUACUAGCAAAUAAGCAAGACCUAAAAGGUGCUCUUACACCAGAUGAAAUUGCUAAGGUACUAAAUCUGGAGAAUAUGGACAAAACCAGGCAUUGGAAAAUCGUGGGCUGUAGCGCAUACAUAGGGGAGGGGCUGCUUGAGGGAUUUGAUUGGUUGGUUCAGGACAUGAUGAUACCUUAGGAUGUAGUCAACAUUAAGCAAUAGAGUCAGGUUUUUUUUUAUUGGCCCUCUCAGAGAACUGAUUAAGGUCCAUUUGUACUGUUUUAUUAACUAUCUUAUUGUUGUGGAAUUUAGUC